GCGCAGAUAUCAGGAGGAACACCGAUGGCGAAGGCAGGUCUCUGGGCUGUAACUGACGCUGAGAAGCGAAAGCAUGGGGAGCGAACAGGAUUAGAUACCCUGGUAGUCCAUGCCGUAAACGUUGGGCACUAGGUGUGGGGAACAUUCCACGUUUUCCGCGCCGUAGCUAACGCAUUAAGUGCCCCGCCUGGGGAGUACGGCCGCAAGGCUAAAACUCAAAGGAAUUGACGGGGGCCCGCACAAGCGGCGGAGCAUGCGGAUUAAUUCGAUGCAACGCGAAGAACCUUACCAAGGCUUGACAUGC
rnacentral:rRNA from 1 species